GCCCCGGUAGUUCAGCCCGGUCUAGAAUGUGCGGCUGUCGCCCGCACGACCCGGGUUCAAAUCCCGGCCGGGGCGCCA
rnacentral:tRNA from 2 species